AAUAUAUAUAUGCACAACUAUCAUGUCAGAGUAAUAGCCUAAAAUUAAUUACACUCUACUAAAAUUUGCCAUUUGAAAAUAUCCAUGCUUUUAAAAAAAGAAAAUUCUAUGAUUCUAAAAAUCCACAGAAGAGGAAACAGUAGGCUAUGAAUUCCCUGAGGCUCCUUCUCCACCUGUUUGCUGCACACCCGUGCCUGGUGCAUGGGUACUUAAUAAACACUUGAGACAUCCAUCAUGCACAGAAUAUGAAGACUCCCUAUUUUAAGAGGCUUCACCAAGAAGAGGCACCAACUGUACUUUCAAGAGUGAAUUCUGGAUAAAUGUUAAAAAUAAUAAUACCUAAAGUAAAUAACAAAC